CCUAAAACAUAUGAUAUUUCACUUUUAUUGGCUCUUAAUUCAGCAGGUUGUCCCUGCAGACUGUAGCAGUGCCUUGAAGACUUUCUGUUGGACAGGAGGAAGGAAUCUCUGGCACAGCCUCAUGGAAGCUGAAGGUAUCAUCUUUUCCCUUUACAGAAUGUUCCGUCUGGUCAGAGCUACAGGCGCUGUGGCAGCGGGGAUGGUUUCAUAUUUCAUUGCAAGACUGGUGCAGUGAAUUAUUCCUCUGUUCACACAUGGAGACCGGGGGAGCUGAUGAGUCGCAGCGUGGAAGGGGAAGGAGAUACGGAGGAGACGGGGAGCUGCUCCGGCUGCUGAUGCUUGAUCCUUUGACUGUUCUGAGAAGCGAUGACGUAACUGAAGGUCGCGGAGCCUCGUGCAACCAAUGCCAAGACACCGCAUUCCUUCCGCUUGGUUUACCUGCUCAGGUAAUAUUGUGUGACUGCUGCUGUAUCCAUGGCAAUGAACACCUGCAGAUACCCUCGACCCGGGCUCCUCCGACAGGGCUGAUUAGCAUGCAUGGAUGAGGCCCGAGCUCUUCCCUGAUUGGUCCUGUCAGCUCCUGGCAUGGGCUCUGACUUACCCCUGCAGAAGACCCAGCUGGCUGUAUGCCCCCCUCCCAUCAUGCUCACGCCUGCUGUAUUCCACAUGACUGGACUUGUCCUCUAGGACACGGAACCCAUGCUCCUGUACAGUGAAUGUCGGAGCAAGAAUGUCUCACUGAAUCACAUGCAGCGAUUGCAGUCUUUCUAUGUAUUUGCCCCAAAUGUUAAUAUAAAAAUAAGCAUUAGCAGCAGCAGGAUCUCUGAAUCUGCAACCCAGGAGAGGUUUGUCAGGAGAUUUGGCAUUGCUAUGAAAAAUGGACAUAUUCUUGUGUCAUCACAUUUCCUCUGGUCUCUCAGGGUGAGCUCUUUUCAUUAUUUCCCCUACGUUGCCUUAAGUCACACCUUUUGAGGGGGCGAUUCACAAACAGGUCAGCUAAAAAGAAUAUUUGAUGAACAAGCUCCCGUCAGCCAUCACUUUUGCCCUCUGGUUUGAUUCUGUGCUGCCUCUGUCCCAGCCCUCCAGCCCAGAUAAAAAGGAACCUCUUCUAAGGUGUUUUCGCGAGCCAUUAUAAAACGGUUGCCAUGGAUACCCACUCUGAACAGGCUCCACAUACAGGCAGCAGAGUAGGAAAUGACAGAUGCAAUAUUUCACAUUUCAAAAAUUCCUUUUUCUCUCAUCAGCAUACAAAAGCUGACGGACCAUUGUGUUAAAAAUGCCAAAGAUCAGGACCCCACAAAUAGGUCUGUAAGGCUAUUUGUUAUGGUCAGUCGCUAUUUAAUUCUUGUUCCACAGAGGUGGGUUGAAUGGUAUUUUCCGCCUCAUUUGGUCUUUGUUGUUUCUCCCUGAAGAGAUGACCUAUAUUAUCUAGGAUGGGAGAUCAAAGAAGGCGUUCUCACUGUGAUCCCAUGAAGCCUGCAUCUUACAAGCCCCGAGAAUCAGCCCUGAUUGCGCAACUGCCUCGCUGCACUGCAAAAUGUGGCCAUGAAGCUAAAGAGUGGAAAAACAGCUUCUUUGUAGCUGCUCAGCCUACAGGAUUCAUGAUCCUGCAGUUUAGGAGGAGCAGAGCUUUUGAUGUCGAGGAUUGUAAUUACUGUCUUUUCUUGAGAUAAUGCACACGCUGCUCAGUGCUGUUUAUUAUCCACUUCAUAAGCAUAUUAAGAGAAAGUGGCGGAAAAAGAAAAGAACUAGUUUGUACAUUAUGUUGAAGCAAACUUUGGUACAACUCACUUCAAACUUAAAAGAGUCUGAGUUCCCUAACUAGGGCUAUCCUCCGUUACAUAUUACCUCCAUAUUUUAUCCAUGAAUUCCCAUUAGUGUUACCAGCUGAUGAUAUGUGAGCUAAUGCUGGCCUCUAUUCGUGUUCGGGUCCUUGGUUGCCUAUUCAUCAGCCACUUAUACUGGGGAAAUGAAACAAGGUCACCAGUGGGAACCGGCUACCUGCUGGGAACAAGUGUUCACCUGCUGCUCUCCACUCCCACCCUCCUCCUCCACCCACCCACACCCUCCUGAUCCCUAUUCCCGUGUAACCCAACUACUGGUCCCCUUGCCUGAUACAACUGGGCGUCUCGUUCCAUUUCCAGAGCUCCACACAAUGUCAGAGACACAUGGCUGCCGAACAUAGCAAUGGAUGCGCCAGAAAUGCCCAUAUGUCUCCAUGACCUGUAUCAGUCGCUACACUGUCACGCAUCUCAUUAGCCACGACCAGAAACGGUGCAAAUGGACCCUAAUGGUCAUUCAUCAAAAUAAGGCCUUCUCCCUACAGUGCCUAGCAGACAAUGGUGCAGGUGAUGGUUAGUGUGGGAAGCUCUGGUGUGAUUUAUGACGACGUUCUCCUUUCUACUGUUUGAGUUUCCAUUGUGCAAGAUAACGAACAUGUUGUAGCUUCAGUCUAAAACUGAAGGUCACAGACUGAUUGAUGUGUUUGAGUUUAAUUACUAUCAAUUAUAGUUUGGUUUGGUGAAGAAGAACACUUUGGGUUUUAAAAGCUAGUAUGUCUUCUUGCCCCUGUUUGGUACGCUGACUGAAGGAUGCAGGGGCUUGAAAGUUUGAUCUUUUUGGUAGAGUUUUAAUGGAUAAUCAGGUUCCAAAAUGUAUCAGGUGUAAAUAAAGAGUGGUAUUAUA